GAUUUCAACUAAAAAAAGUCAUCAACAACAAAGCUGUAUAACUCAUCAAUAUCUAUAACUUUUAUUUUGUCAUUUCUUCAUCCGACAAAGUAAUAGUAACAUUGUUUAUAAAGUUUACAUAUCUCUCUUAUAGUUUAUAAACUAUAUCAGAGAUAUGUACAUUUUGUGAAUGAUGUUACAAAUCACUUUGCUUGGAUGAAAAAAUGACCCAAAUAAAAGUUAUAGAUCUUGAUGAGUUAUACCACUUUCACUUUGUUGUUGAUGACUUUUUCAGUUGAAAUC
rnacentral:pre_miRNA from 1 species